UGCAGCAACGCCGCGUGAGCGAUGAAGGCCUUCGGGUCGUAAAGCUCUGUCCUCAAGGAAGAUAAUGACGGUACUUGAGGAGGAAGCCCCGGCUAACUACGU
rnacentral:rRNA from 1 species